rnacentral:tRNA from 1 species
UUGACUUUAGCUCAGCGGUAGAGCCCCGGAUUGUGAUCCCGGUGGGCAUCAGUUCGAAUCUGAUAAGUCAACCCA